rnacentral:rRNA from 1 species
GAACCUUAUCAUUUAGAGGAAGGAGAAGUCGUA